GGCUUUAUAGUAAAAUAAUAAUAUUAGAUUGCAAAUCUGAAGAUGUGUUGAAAACACUAAAGUUU
rnacentral:tRNA from 2 species